AGAGUUUGAUCCUGGCUCAGGAUGAACGCUGGCGGAGUGCCUUAAGCAUGCAAGUGGAACGGUCGCCGCGAGGCGACAGUCGCAGACGGGUGAGUACAGCAUAGGAAUCUACCCUGGGGUGGGGAAUAACUCGGCGAAAGCUGAGCUAAUUCCGCAUAAGCCCGCAAGGGGAAAGGCCGUAACUGGCCGCCGAAGGAGGAGCCUAUGUCCUAUCAGCUAGUUGGUGGGGUAACGGCCUACCAAGGCAAUGACGGGUAGCUGGACUGAGAGGUCGGUCAGCCACAAUAGCACUUAGACACGGGCUAUACAUCUACGGAUGGCAGCAACUGGGAAUAUUGCGCAAUGGACGAAAGUCUGACGCAGCGACUCCGCGUGAGGGAUGACGGCCUUCGGGUUGUAAACCUCUUUUGCUCCGCCACAUGGCGGAGAGAAUAAGCACCUGCUAACCACGUGCCAGCAGCCGCGGUAAUACGUGGGGUGCGAGCGUUAUCCGGAUUUACUGGGCGUAAAGAGUUCGUAGGCGUCUGGUAAAGUUUCGUUUGAAAGACCGAGGCUUAACUUCGGAAACGGACGAAAUACUUAUCAGAUUGAGUUAGUUAGGGGGUACUGGAACUUCCGGUGUAGCAGUGAAAUGCGUUGAUAUUGGAAGGAACACCAAGGGCGAAGGCAGGUACCUGGGACUUAACUGACGCUGAGGAACGAAAGCUAGGGGAGCGAAAGGGAUUAAGUUUAGUCCCAUUCCGCAGUAAUGUGGAAUGAAAACUGGCUAUAUCGGUGGAACUCCUUGUUAUUUCGGGUUACCUUUGGUAAUCUGAAAUUAGGUGAGGACAAUACCGAGGGAAGUUAGUAUUCUAAGUAAAACUCAAGAAAAUGUUUUGAUAGGUACUAUUUUGGGAGAUGGCGGAUUGCGCUUUAAGGGUAGCGAAUGUCGGUUGCAUAUUAAACAUGCAGCUUGGCAACUGCCUUUGGUGCAAUACAAACAUCUGAUUUUCGAAAACUUUGUUUCCAUGAAGAU
rnacentral:rRNA from 1 species